rnacentral:rRNA from 1 species
GUCCAUGCCGUAAACCAUGGAUACUAGAUAUCGGAGGUCUCAACUCUUCCGGUGUCGUAGCUAACGCGUUAAGUAUCCCGCCUGGGGAGUACGGCCGCAAGACUGAAACUCAAAGAAAUUGACGGGGGCCCGCACAAGCGGUGGAGCAUGUGGUUUAAUUCGAUGGUACGCGAAGAACCUUACCUGGGCUUGACAUGGGAAUGCCGAGUGCAGAGAUGUACUUUUCCCUUCGGGGACAUUCCACACAGGUGCUGCAUGGCUGUCGU